rnacentral:lncRNA from 13 species
GGACUUGGUGUUUGGGCGCUGUCCAUCCUCUGGUGCUGAAGUAGACAAGAGACCCAAACCUGCCUGGCUGCCUCUUAGGAUAUGACAGCACAGCCAGUGACCUCUACUGGGCCCUGUACAACCUCACAAGACACCCAGAGACUGGGAGUGCUGCCAGCAUGUGGUUCAAGAGCCCUGAGGGCCCACAAUCCAGAAGAUAUUGAAUGGUGGUGUUCUUGCUCAUUGCCGGAUCUGCUGUCAGGGCCCCUGGCCUCAACCCCAGGUCUGACCCUUGCAGUGCAGCCAGGCCAUUCUAGAGGAAUCAUGCCCUUGGAAGGAGCCCUGAGGAAUGACUGGCUGGAGUGCAGUGGCAGGAUAAGGACUUGUUGCAGCCUCAACCUCCUGGGCUCAAGUGAUUCUCCCAUCUCAGCCGCUGGAAUAGCUGAGACCCCAGGUACACACCACCAUGCUAGGCUAAGUUUUUCUAUUUUUGGUAGGGAUGGGUUUUUGUCACGUUGCCCAGUCUUGUCUCAAACUCCUGAAGUCAAGUCAUCUGCCCACUUCAACCUCCCAAAGUGCUGGGUUACAGGCACGAGCCUCUGUGCACAGCCCUUUUUUCUUCUUUCUUCUUUCUUUUUUUUUUUUUUUGCCAAUCAGUUUGAGCUUAUGAGGUUGCUCAGGAUAGCCUUGAACUGAUGACCUCACCUUCGCGAGCGCCAUGACCUCCGGCAGGAGCUACUUUGGACCCCCCCCCUUUUUUUUUAAGAUUAGCUUUCACUCUUUAUAUAGGCUGGAGUGACCAAUGUGAUCACAACUUGCUGUAGCCUCAACCUCCUGGGCUCAAGUGAUCAUCCCACCUCAGCUUCUUGAAUACCUUGAACCACAAGUGUACAUCACCACAUGUGGCUAAUUUUUUGUAUUUUUGGUAGAGAUGGUGUUUUGCCGUAGCGCCCAGUUAGGUCUCGAACUCCUGAACUCAAGUCGUCUGUCUGCUCACCUUAGCAUCCCAAAUUGCUGGGUAAUAGUCCUGAAUAACUGUGCUCGGCAGUUUAUCUUCUUUCAUAUAUCCGCGUGUGUGUGUGUGUGUGUGUGUGUGUGCAGAGAGAGAGAGCUAUCUUGCUCUUACUUAAGCUGGAGUGCAGUGGCGUGGUCACAGCUUGCUGCAACCUCAACAUCCUGAGCUCAAACAAUCCUCCCACCUCAGUCUCUUCAGUAGCUUAAAUCACAGGUGCACACCACCAUGCCUGGCUAUUUUUGUGUAUUUUUGGUAGAGAUGAGGUUUGGCCAUGUUGCCCAGUGUUGUCUCCAACUGCAGAACUUAAGUGAUCUGCCCACCUCAGCCUCACAAAUUUGUGGGUUACAGGCAUGAGCCACUGUGCCCAGCCCUUUUUUAUUUUUAUUUUUGAUAUUGGUUCUUGCUCUGUUAUGCAGGCUGGAGUGCAGUGGUGUGAUGACCGCUUGCUGCAGACUCAACCUCCUGGGCUCAAGUGAUCCUCCCACCUCAGCCUCUUGAAUAGCUGGGACCACAGGUGUACACCACCAC